GGGGAUAUAGCUCAGCGGUAGAGCGCUCCCUUAGCAUGGGAGAGAGCUGGGGUUCAAGUCCCCAUAUCUACA
rfam:Ascaris lumbricoides genome assembly, scaffold: ALTE_contig0013897